CAAAAUCAAAACAAAAACUUAAGUUUCCUAUUCCUCUCAUACGGCCGAAUCAGAUGGUUCUUUUCCCCACCGCCGUUUUGCUUCCAUAUUUCAGUGAAUUGCACCAUCUGAAAGCAUGGUUUGCCUUAUUCGAAGACGUACUCAAGGGUUUUGCUGCCCUUAAGCCACGGAAUCCUCACUUAUACUUCGAUUAUUGCGAAGCCAGCAAGGAUUCAAAAGUCAAUACCAAGGUAAGUCCUUUUUAUUUUUCCGUAUACCGUAAAUAAAGACCAAGAAGAACAAAGAAUUAAAAUCGGAAAAAAAUGCUAGAUCUAAGAAUCACCUUUCUAAAAUUGAUUUCUAAAUGCCUUUUCUUUGUAUUCAAUAUUUUGUAUGCCUAUUUCAGUGUGCAUAAUCCAUCAAAGUACAAACCAUGGCUUUUUAAAACCGAAUUUACAGAAUAAAUAAAAAAUGAAAAUUUUAUUUUCCUACUGUCAUUUUCUGUAUAUUCUGUUAGCAUUUCUGUUCUCACAGGUUCUAUGUUGACUUGGAGGCAUACAGAGAAGCAAGCUACUCGUGGGGAGGCCGUUCGUGAGAGGCUCGAUUCCAUGGCUAGCUGCUGCACUGUGUAUUCCAGAAACCUCUAGGGUUUCUGGUGUUUUCUCAUUAUUGGGCUCAUUUGGGCCACAUGUAAAUUGGGCUAGGAUUUUAGGUUUUGGACUAGUGUUUUAUUUCUGUUUCAGGCUAUGUUUAGUUAUUGGACUUUGGGUUAGUGUUUUGGGCCUUUAUUUUUGUAAAAAUACUUGGACUUUUAAUUUAUUUGGCUCAUGGCUUUAUUUAUUAUUAUUAUUAUUUUAUUUUUGGUUCUGGUAUAGUUUUUUUAUGGGCCCAGGCAAAAUGGGCCUAUUACAAUCACAUUGCAUAUUUAUAUACUUUAAUGGAAAUAUAUGUAUGUGUAACCCCC
rnacentral:lncRNA from 1 species